rfam:Ovis aries breed Texel chromosome 18, whole genome shotgun sequence.
UCCCUGGUGGCUCAGAUGGUAAAGCGUCUGCCUACAAUGCGGAAGACCCGGCUUCGAUCCCUGGGUCAGGGAA